AGCGGUAGAGAGAAGCUUGCUUCUCUUGAGAGCGGCGGACGGGUGAGUAAUGCCUAGGAAUCUGCCUGGUAGUGGGGGAUAACGUUCGGAAACGGACGCUAAUACCGCAUACGUCCUACGGGAGAAAGCAGGGGACCUUCGGGCCUUGCGCUAUCAGAUGAGCCUAGGUCGGAUUAGCUAGUUGGUGAGGUAAUGGCUCACCAAGGCGACGAUCCGUAACUGGUCUGAGAGGAUGAUCAGUCACACUGGAACUGAGACACGGUCCAGACUCCUACGGGAGGCAGCAGUGGGGAAUAUUGGACAAUGGGCGAAAGCCUGAUCCAGCCAUGCCGCGUGUGUGAAGAAGGUCUUCGGAUUGUAAAGCACUUUAAGUUGGGAGGAAGGGCCAUUACCUAAUACGUGAUGGUUUUGACGUUACCGACAGAAUAAGCACCGGCUAACUCUGUGCCAGCAGCCGCGGUAAUACAGAGGGUGCAAGCGUUAAUCGGAAUUACUGGGCGUAAAGCGCGCGUAGGUGGUUUGUUAAGUUGGAUGUGAAAUCCCCGGGCUCAACCUGGGAACUGCAUUCAAAACUGACUGACUAGAGUAUGGUAGAG
rnacentral:rRNA from 1 species